UGAUAUUUUAUUUAAUGGCUGCAGAAUUUUUUACUGUACAAAGGUAGCAUAAUAAUUUGUUUUUUAAUUAAAAACUAGAAUGAAAGAUUCAAUGAAAUAUAAACUGUUUCAAUUAAAAUUUAUUAAAUUUUUUAUUUAAGUAAAAAAACUUAAAUAAAUUUUUAAGACGACAAGACCCUAUAGAAUUUAAUUUAAUUUUUUUUUAAAAAAAAAAAUUAAAUUUUAUUGGGGNAAUAAAAAAAUUAAAUUAAUUUUUUUUUUANAAUACNUANANAAUUGAAUAAUUUAUCUUAAUUUUUAAAUUAAAAAAAUUAAUUACCUUAGGGAUAACA
rnacentral:rRNA from 1 species